GAGAGGGGAGGGGGAGGCAGCUGGGCUGUGACGCGCGUGGCUGCUGCGGCUGCUCCGCCGGCGGCUCAUCACUCUCGGGCUGGGAUGGACGAGGGGCGGGCGGGCCCCGGCUCGCAGAACCAGGAGUUCGGGCCGCCCAGCAGCUAAGCGCUUCCCCCACCACUCCUCUCCUCUACCUCCACCAUCCCCCGAGGGACACCGUCCCCGCUCUGCCUUCCCCAAUCCCAGGAUCUCUGGAACCCAGCUCCCAACCCCCUAGCCCAGGGUUGGGGAGGUCGGCAAGGGACCCAAAACCCGACCUUUUCUGAUCUCCCCUGGAUUUUCUUCCCCCUUACUCGAGACCGAGUGGAUUCCUCCUCCUCCUUCCUAAGGAUUCCGACCUAAUUCCCUCCUGUUCAGAGGAUUCAGCGUGGGGCCUUCCCGACAGCCCUCAGAUCCCUUAGGAUCUCCGGAGACUAUUCCCCCCCCAUCCCUGAUCUCUCAGGAUCCGUGAGAUCCUCCACCUUCUCCCCAUUUUCAAUUCUUCCUCAAUCAAGUCCUAUCGGGAGACGCCCCCAGCCCCAUUCGAAUAUCUCCAGGGAUCCAGCGGUCUCCAAUCCAUCGUACUCAACCCCCGCUGCGGGAUUCCUGGUUCCCAGCCCCCUCCUAGGCGGGCAUCUGCUUCUCCUUUCCCUGGCCUCGUACCCUACCUCUCCUCUCCCUGGGAAUCGACUGGAUUCUGGCCCGCCCCCGGGGCUUGGGGUAAUCCCCCUCCCCAGUAGGGUGAGGCGCUGUGGGCGGGGGCCCGGUCUGCCGGGUUUGGAGGCUCUAAGGCCCCUGCACCCCUAAGGACCCUAUCUGCCUCCCUCCUCCCCCACUCCGAGCCCCUGAUGGAGAAGCCACGGCCCCGGGGUUGAGGCAGGGGACCCAGGUGCUUUACCCACAAAUAUUAUGUGAUAAUUCGUUCCAUCUUAGUGAACUGGGAGAGGAGAGCCUGUUGUUUUAUCUCUUUCUAGGUCCUGCCGUCUUCCCCCACUUACCAUCUACCCCCCCAUUCCCCACCCUUUGCUCUCUCCAUGGAGCGCAACAGACCUCUCUUCUUCCCUAUCUAACUUCCCCUCCCUCCCUGCCCCCUUUCCUUCCCCCUUUUCCCCCUCCCCAU